UGUAAACUACCAUGUGCGACAAUGCUAAAGCAUAUCCCUUGGUCCUUAAUUUUUAUAAUUAGGGUGACAUAACCGAUGUCUGUGUGCAGGUCUGUCAUUAUGAACAGAAAGCCUAAUGUAUCGGGAGUCUCCCGCCUUGAACCUUUGGUUCCAAGGUCGCCUUUAGUGUAUCGGCAUGUGUGGUUUACAU
rnacentral:other from 1 species